AGGGUGAAGAUUAAUGAUGAAAACAUUUGUCACUUUGUCAUCAAGCAGGUCACUUGUUACUCCACUUGUUUCAACCUCAACUGAUGGCAACACCACUGAAGAAUUUGCCUUCUGUAUAGCAAACUUGAGAUUGGAGAAGGCAUCGCCAUGGCUACCAGUACUAUAGGCAUCUCCGUAACGAGUGACAUCAUCAAUACUUAACUAUGAUGGAAAGAAGAGAAAACGAGAACACUUGUGAGUAACAUAGUCAUUAUAUAUAAUUCAGUAGGAAAUAAAAAUAAAGUUUGUUUUGUUAAA